GAUGAACGCUGGCGGCGUGCCUAAUACAUGCAAGUCGAGCGAACGGACGAGAAGCUUGCUUCUCUGAUGUUAGCGGCGGACGGGUGAGUAACACGUGGAUAACCUACCUAUAAGACUGGGAUAACUUCGGGAAACCGGAGCUAAUACCGGAUGAUAUUUUGAACCGCAUGGUUCAAAAGUGAAAGACGGUCUUGCUGUCACUUAUAGAUGGAUCCGCGCUGCAUUAGCUAGUUGGUAAGGUAACGGCUUACCAAGGCAACGAUGCAUAGCCGACCUGAGAGGGUGAUCGGCCACACUGGAACUUGGACGCGGUCCAGACUCCUACGGGAGGCAGCAGUAGGGAAUCUUCCGCAAUGGGCGAAAGCCUGACGGAGCAACGCCGCGUGAGUGAUGAAGGUCUUCGGAUCGUAAAACUCUGUUAUUAGGGAAGAACAUAUGUGUAAGUAACUGUGCACAUCUUGACGGUACCUAAUCAGAAAGCCACGGCUAACUACGUG
rnacentral:rRNA from 1 species